rnacentral:rRNA from 1 species
GACGAACGCUGGCGGCGUGCCUAAUACAUGCAAGUCGUGCGGACAGAUGAGGAGCUUGCUCCUCUGACGUUAGCGGCGAACGGGUGAGUAACACGUGGGUAACCUGCCCUCAAGCGGGGGAUAACAUCCGGAAACGGGUGCUAAUACCGCAUAGGUUCUUCUUCCACCUGGAAGAAGAAGGAAAGACGGCCUUUGUGCUGUCGCUUGAGGAUGGACCCGCGGCGUAUUAGCUAGUUGGUGGGGUAACUGCCCACCAAGGCAAUGAUACGUAGCCGACCUGAGAGGGUGAUCGGCCACAUUGGGACUGAGACACGGCCCAA